rnacentral:lncRNA from 1 species
AAAGAACAAAGUUUUGUCCAUCUUCGUUCAUCAUAGCUGAAAGUUAGAGAAGAGAAAGGAGAGGAGAAAGCUCUUGAGUAUUCGGUCAUUAGGAGGAGGAAAAUUGAAGGUAAGUUCUUGGUACCUUGCUUCUAUUUUGAGGUUCAUGAGUUCUUCUUGAUUCUACCUUAACUCUUGAAGUAUAUUUUGAUUUUUAGUUGUGUUGUGAGCAUUUAGUCAUGAAUUAAAAUGAAGGAAAUGGUUGUUGUUUCAUGUUCUUUUGAUGAAAAAAUGGAAGAUAGGUGAAGUUGAGCCAAACAAAUGAGCAUGCAUAUGCCUUAGAUGUUAAAGGGAAAAAUCAGCUAACAUGUUGUGCUUUAAAAUGAUGAAAUGGAGAUUAUACUUAAGUAAAAUCAUAGAUAUGUGAUGAUUGAUUGGUGAUAUACUUGUUUAAAUAACAUGCAUGCAAGGUAUGUGUGAAAGAGUGAUUUGGUAAUAAAUCUACUUGGGACAGCAGCAGUAACGUGACUUUGGAAAAUCACCAUAAAUUGUGGGAGAUGAAUUAGAGGCUGAAUAAAUUAUGUAAUUAAAGCUUAUUGAGUCUAGUUUCUAAUGAAAUAAACAAGAACAUAUUUUGAAUUCUGUACAAUGAGAAAUUUGAUUCGUAAUGAAGAGUGGUCAGAUUAGUCAAACAGUGAAACAUGGGAAACUUUAAGAAAAAUCUGGUAUUGAUUGGCCAUACCAAAAAUUCUGAAAAUUUUAUGGAUAAAAUAUAUAUGAGUCUAUUUUCAGGGAAAAUUAACGGCACUUGAUUUGGAGUUUUGUAGUUACAGUUAUAAAUAAUUUAGUGACUGUUGCUCAGGAAGACAGCUUGCAGUGAAAUUAUGAUUAUGUGGUAAACAUUGACAAAAAUUUGUUAAUGAGUUGCUUAUUGAUUUCUUAUAAGCUUACUAUGAUCUGUAGGUGUGGUUGGCCGAAUAUUGUAAGGGGUUAAUACGUAGUUUGUAUUUGAAUAUUUAGAUUAACGUGUUAGUAAUCCAAUUGUAGGCGGUUCGUGUGUGGAUCUCGUCAGCAUAUCGUCGCAAACAGGUGUGUAACUGACACCCUCUCAUAGACUAGAUUGGCAAAAGCCGAAAAGCCGAAAUGCCAAAAAGUCGGUAUUUUGGGAAUUCGCGAGUGUGCGAAUGCUCGUAAGAUAGUUGGGUUUGUAUAUUUGGUAAUCUAAAGUAAUAAACUGCAGUAUGCGCGAUUUCGUACAUUUUGAUAAUUUGGGCUUAAUGGACCAAAGAUCGGGUUCAUGGGCCAACGGGCCCAAUUCGGUAAGUAUGCGCGGUAAGUGUUCUAAUAGUACAUAAAUAGUUAGGAUAUGCAUGAAAACCCUGAAAGUAGCUAAAUUACUAUAAUACCCCUAUGUAUGGAAAAUUACUGUUAUACCCCUAGGUGUAAAAUUACCGUUAUACCCCUAGGGUUAAUUUUGACUGAAAAGCAUGUCGAUCUGAUUCUGUAUGAUGUAUGCCAUGAUUAUAUAUCUGUUGCAUGAGGACACGGGUUAUAUUAUGGAGGAAGCGUUCUGGUGGCUAUGCCACAAAUAUCUGAUCUGGUGGCUCUGCCACAUAUAUCUGUUCUGGUGGCUCUGCCACAUAUAUCUGUUCUGGUGGCUCUGCCACGAUUAUCUGUAUCUGGUGACUCUGUCACAUUAUCUGUUCUGGCAGCCAUGCUGCAAAUUCUGUGGUGUGUAGCGGUUGGGUGGGUCGAGUUGUCUCCCCACACGGUGUAAGGUUGGUACGGGGGUGUAUAUGGUUGGAUAUGGUUGGGUUUCUGCAUAAACAUGUAAUAUCUGUUCUGUUCUGUUAUGGGCCUAUGGGCUUUAUUUUGAAUUCUGUUCUGGGCUAAGGCCAACUUAUUCUAUUUCUGUGGUUUAAGCUGAUAAAGGCUAUGGUUGGGUUAAUUUACACACUGAGUUUCCCCAAACUCACCCCUUUUAUUUUCAUCCACGCAGGUAAUCCCCAACCAUAGUGGGCUUGGAGCUGUGAGGGAAUUCGGAGUGGCCACCUGUUCUGAAUGUUUGAUUUUCUUCUGGUGAACUGGACAUCCUUUUAUUUACGUUUGAAGUUUUGGGUUUUUAAAUGUAAUAAGGCCGCUUAUUUAUUUUUGAUGGUUUUUUUUAUAUGUAUUACUAAGAUAGGUAAUACUUAUUUUAACUGUUGAAAUUGGAUAGCUUUAGGGCGCGUUUUCAAAAACAACAGUUGAUUUCAAAAUAACACGA